rnacentral:rRNA from 1 species
GUUAGGAAUAUUGGACAAUGGGCGCAAGCCUGAUCCAGCCAUGCCGCGUGAGUGAUGAAGGCCUUCGGGUUGUAAAGCUCUUUAGCCGAUGAUUAUAAUGACUGUAGUCGGAAAAUAAGCCCCGGCUAACUUCGUGCCAGCAGCCGCGGUAAUACGAAGGGGGCGAGCGUUAUUCGGAAUCACUGGGCGUAAAGCGUGCGUAGGCGGCUUUGCAAGUUGGGAGUGAAAGCCCAGGGCUCAACCCUGGGAUGGCUCUCAAAACUGCAAGUCUCGAAUUCGGGAGAGGAUAGAGGAAUUGUCAGUGUAGCAGUGAAAUGCGUAGAUAUUGACAGGAACACCAGUGGCGUAAGCGGCUAUCUGGACCGAUAUUGACGCUGAGGCACGAAAGCGUGGGGAUCAAACAGGAUUAGAAACCCCGGUAGUCC